AGAUCUUGGUUCAUAACCGGCCUUCUUUGGGUAGCAAUAUCUAGUUUUUUUAAGUAAAUUUUGCUAGAAUUUACUCUUAACUUCUUUCUAAAGAUGCCUAUAUCAUUUAUUUUUCUGAUCUACUUUAUUUUGUCUUACUUAUGGUCCUACAAAGUAAGUAUAAGUCACAUUUCUAAGAGGCAACAUUGAUACCUUUUUGUUUUAUUACCCUUUUGACUAUUAACUAUAUUUCUAAGAUAAUUUUUUCUAAUAC
rnacentral:lncRNA from 1 species